CUGGUUGAUCCUGCCAGUAGUCAUAUGCUUGUCUCAAAGACUAAGCCAUGCAUGUCUAAGUAUAAGUGCUAUACAGCGAAACUGCGAAUGGCUCAUUAAAACAGUUAUAGUUUAUUUGACAAUCGAAUUUACAUGGAUAACCGUGGUAAUUCUAGAGCUAAUACAUGCUGGUGUGCCCGACUCUUCGGAAGGGCGGUAUUUAUUAGAUAACAAGCCAAUAUUCCUCUGGUCUAUUGUGGUGAUUCAUAAUAACUGAUCGAAUCGCAAGGCCUAUGGCCGCGAUAAGUCAUUCAAGUUUCUGCCCCACCAGCUUUCGAUGGUAGUGUAUUGGACUACCAUGGCUUUUACGGGUAACGGAGAAUUAGGGUUCGAUUCCGGAGAGGGAGCCUGAGAAACGGCUACCACAUCUAAGGAAGGCAGCAGGCGCGUAAAUUACCCAAUCCUGACUCAGGGAGGUAGUGACAAGAAAUAACAAGGAAAGUACUUAACGUAUUUUUCCUCGGAAUGAGAAGAAUUUAAAUCUCUUUUCGACUAGCAAUUGGAGGGCAAGUCUGGU
rnacentral:rRNA from 1 species